rnacentral:rRNA from 1 species
GAAGCGGCAACAGCUCAAAUUUGAAAUCUGACCCUUUGGGGUCCGAGUUGUAAUUUGCAGAGGGUGUUUCGGGCACGGUGCCGGUUUAAGUCCUUUGGAACAGGGUGUCAUAGAGGGUGAGAACCCCGUAUGUGACCGGUCGCCAAACCUAUGUGAAACCCCUUCGACGAGUCGAGUUGUUUGGGAAUGCAGCUCAAAAUGGGUGGUAAAUUUCAUCUAAAGCUAAAUAUUGGCCAGAGACCGAUAGCGCACAAGUAGAGUGAUCGAAAGAUGAAAAGCACUUUGGAAAGAGAGUCAAACAGCACGUGAAAUUGUUGAAAGGGAAGCGCUUGCGACCAGACCUGCUCGCGGGUGAUCAGCGGUGCUUUUCGCGCCGUGCACUCAUCCGCGAUCAGGCCAGCAUCGGUUCAGGCGGCCGGACAAAGACUCGGAGAAUGUAGCUCCCUCCGGGGAGUGUUAUAGCUCCUUGUGCAAUACGGCCAGCCGGGACCGAGGACCGCGCUCGGCU